rnacentral:rRNA from 1 species
CAUAGGUUAAUGAGGCGAACCGGGGGAACUGAAACAUCUAAGUACCCCGAGGAAAAGAAAUCAACCGAGAUUCCCCCAGUAGCGGCGAGCGAACGGGGAGCAGCCCAGAGCCUGAAUCAGUGUGUGUGUUAGUGGAAGCGUCUGGAAAGGCGCGCGAUACAGGGUGACAGCCCCGUACACAAAAAUGCACAUGCUGUGAGCUCGAUGAGUAGGGCGGGACACGUGGUAUCCUGUCUGAAUAUGGGGGGACCAUCCUCCAAGGCUAAAUACUCCUGACUGACCGAUAGUGAACCAGUACCGUGAGGGAAAGGCGAAAAGAACCCCGGCGAGGGGAGUGAAAAAGAACCUGAAACCGUGUACGUACAAGCAGUGGGAGCACGCUUAGGCGUGUGACUGCGUACCUUUUGUAUAAUGGGUCAGCGACUUAUAUUCUGUAGCAAGGUUAACCGAAUAGGGGAGCCGAAGGGAAACCGAGUCUUAACUGGGCGUUAAGUUGCAGGGUAUAGACCCGAAACCCGGUGAUCUAGCCAUGGGCAGGUUGAAGGUUGGGUAACACUAACUGGAGGACCGAACCGACUAAUGUUGAAAAAUUAGCGGAUGACUUGUGGCUGGGGGUGAAAGGCCAAUCAAACCGGGAGAUAGCUGGUUCUCCCCGAAAGCUAUUUAGGUAGCGCCUCGUGAAUUCAUCUCCGGGGGUAGAGCACUGUUUCGGCAAGGGGGUCAUCCCGACUUACCAACCCGAUGCAAACUGCGAAUACCGGAGAAUGUUAUCACGGGAGACACACGGCGGGUGCUAACGUCCGUCGUGAAGAGGGAAACAACCCAGACCGCCAGCUAAGGUCCCAAAGUCAUGGUUAAGUGGGAAACGAUGUGGGAAGGCCCAGACAGCCAGGAUGUUGGCUUAGAAGCAGCCAUCAUUUAAAGAAAGCGUAAUAGCUCACUGGUCGAGUCGGCCUGCGCGGAAGAUGUAACGGGGCUAAACCAUGCACCGAAGCUGCGGCAGCGACGCUUAUGCGUUGUUGGGUAGGGGAGCGUUCUGUAAGCCUGCGAAGGUGUGCUGUGAGGCAUGCUGGAGGUAUCAGAAGUGCGAAUGCUGACAUAAGUAACGAUAAAGCGGGUGAAAAGCCCGCUCGCCGGAAGACCAAGGGUUCCUGUCCAACGUUAAUCGGGGCAGGGUGAGUCGACCCCUAAGGCGAGGCCGAAAGGCGUAGUCGAUGGGAAACAGGUUAAUAUUCCUGUACUUGGUGUUACUGCGAAGGGGGGACGGAGAAGGCUAUGUUGGCCGGGCGACGGUUGUCCCGGUUUAAGCGUGUAGGCUGGUUUUCCAGGCAAAUCCGGAAAAUCAAGGCUGAGGCGUGAUGACGAGGCACUACGGUGCUGAAGCAACAAAUGCCCUGCUUCCAGGAAAAGCCUCUAAGCAUCAGGUAACAUCAAAUCGUACCCCAAACCGACACAGGUGGUCAGGUAGAGAAUACCAAGGCGCUUGAGAGAACUCGGGUGAAGGAACUAGGCAAAAUGGUGCCGUAACUUCGGGAGAAGG